AGUUAACUGCAAAACAGCCUCAGGCAGGUCCUUCAGGAGAUAUUCCAGAAGAAGACAUCAUUAUCAUAGGAGAUGACAGCUCCACGCACGAACACCAGUGAUUCAUAGGGUUUUCGGUCAGGCUUCUGAGCCCAAGCCUGCAUGUAUACAUCCAGAUGGCCUGAGACAACUGAAAAGUACAAAAGAAGUGAAAGAGCCAGCUCCUUUCUUAACUGAUGGACAAACCUUACAACAUUCCAUUAUGAUUUGCUCCUGCCCUGUCCCAAAUGAUUGAUCGAUGGACCUCGUGACAUUCUUCUUCUGGAAAAUGAGUCUUAUGAUCUCCCCACCAAGAACCUUGCGACGCCAACCCCUGCCCGCAAGAGAAAAACCCCCUUUAACUGUAACUUUCCACUGCUUAUCCCAGUCCCAUAAAAGUGCCGCAUCUCUAACUCCCUUCACUGACUCCUUUCUCAGACUCAGCCCACUUGCACCCAAAUGAAUAAACAGCUUUGUUGCUCACACA
rnacentral:lncRNA from 10 species